rnacentral:rRNA from 1 species
UACGGAGGGUGCAAGCGUUGUUCGGAAUCACUGGGCGUAAAGCGCGUGUAGGCGGCUUCUCAAGUCUGGUGUGAAAGCCCGGGGCUCACCCCCGGAAGUGCACUGGAAACUGGGAAGCUUCGAGUACCGGAGAGGAGGGUGGAAUUCCUGGUGUAGCGGUGAAAUGCGUAGAUAUCAGGAGGAACACCGGUGGCGAAGGCGGCCCUCUGGACGGAUACUGACGCUGAGACGCGAAAGCGUGGGGAGCAAACAGG